ensembl:lncRNA
UUUUUGUGCAAUAUUUAGAAUGUUUAGUCUUUCUCUACCUUCAUCACACUGCAAUAUAUUUUUAAUGUUGCCAUUUGUAAUGCUUUUGCAGUAUCUCUUGAUCUCUGGAAAUCAAAGGUAAAACUGAAGCAAAAAAUGCUUAAUAUUACCCUCCCCGAUAUAUUUAUAAAGCUUAUAUCUUUGAUACAGAUUGAAGAAAUGUUGUUGCAGUUUUAUUUCCCUUUGAGGAUAUACUUUGGCACGGAUGGCGGAAGAAUUCUGCUUCCGGAGUAUCCCUAUGGGGCACGUAUUCUAGGAACUCUACUGAAUCCAGUCUCUGGAUUUCAAAUACCAUGGAAUGGAGAUGACUGAGAGAAGAAGUUACAAAGAUGUUUUACUCAUGGGAAGGAGAGUAUUGUCUGAGAACACAAGUUCAACAUCUCUUUAGGAAUGCAAAACCAUGCAUCUUUGGAUUUUACUUAUAGUGCUUAAUAGAUGGUCUAAUUUGUACAUGUUUUUGCUGUAAAAUAGUAUUGAUUUCAGACUUAUACUUGAGCUCCAUCUGUAGGAAACAAAGGACAUAAACUAUUCUUCUAGUUACCUAAGCAAUGAUUAAAAUAAGAUUUCUACAGCAAACCAGAGGUCAUGACAGUAAAUUUACCUAUAGAGUGCUCAAAGCAUACAAUCUGUCUUUUUGUAAAGUUGACAUAAUAUUUGUGGCAAAAAUAUAGCUGACCAAAGAUCAGGGGCAGCAAGAAAUCCUUGGAAUAAAAUGCAGCUUGGGGGAUGGUUUAAUGCAUUUCUAAACUGUAAGCUAGUAAGAUGUGAAAUAAUACAAGAAUAUCGAAAUGAUUUUUAAAAUGGAAAUUUAUACCUGUACACACACACACAUCCUGACAAAAUGUGACCAACUGUUUCAAAUUAUAAACUUCACUACAGAAAGCUAUAGUUCCAAAUGCCAAAUAUCCGUAGUUUUGGUCUAUUGAAAGUAGACCGUUCUAUCUGUACUAAAUUGCAAAAACAAUUAUAACUCUUUUUCCCCCACAGCAUACAAAAACUUUAGCUACAACAAUCUCUGAGAGGAGGCUUGUAAUAAAGAGUUUCCUGCUCAGUUAGUGUGUUGUAUAAAAGUGAGGAUAUUAAAAAGAAAACAGAGAAAAAAGAAAAAGUAAUGUAUUUUAUUUGCAAGUCUGUUGUUGUUUUAGGUAAAACAAAGCUAUGAAAAAUGUUUGCUAUUGAAACCUGAAACAUAAUAAAAUUGGAUUAUUUCUGGUAAAGAAACAAGACACAAUUUCACUGGUUGAAAGUCACUCUCACUCAAAAAAAAUCUAGUAUUUUACUUGAAGAGUAAUCUUCAUAUGUAUCUAGAAUUAAAUGUUGGUGCUCACCUACGGUCAGGGUUGUCAUUUCCAUGCAACACUUUUCUUGGCUUUUCUGAACACUUUUAAUAUUCUUUUAGAGUUCCUUAGAUGAAAAGAAAGAACUAGAAAUGAAAUCUAAUGGCAAGUGAAGAUAAUUAAGGGCCUCAUCAAAAAGGCUAGGUGAAGUGUCCCGCUUCAUCUGGCUUUGGGAAAAAACAGGCAAAAGCAUACUGCAACGCUUUUUUAGGUGAGUGUGAUAAGGUCAGAAGUGCAUGAACAUUUUCCUUGGCCAGUCGUCAGACAAAACACCCUGUACUGAAUCAACUUGUAAACAUAAAUUAGGGAUGUCAUAAACUAGCCCCGACUUACCAUAUACACACACAUUUAAUACACUGUCAUGUCUUCCACACAUGUCUA